AGAUUGAACGCUGGCGGCAUGCUUUACACAUGCAAGUCGAACGGUAACAGGCCGCAAGGUGCUGACGAGUGGCGAACGGGUGAGUAAUGUAUCGGAACGUGCCCAGUCGUGGGGGAUAACGCAGCGAAAGCUGCGCUAAUACCGCAUACGAUCUAUGGAUGAAAGCGGGGGACCGUAAGGCCUCGCGCGAUUGGAGCGGCCGAUAUCAGAUUAGGUAGUUGGUGGGGUUAAAGGCUCACCAAGCCAACGAUCUGUAGCUGGUCUGAGAGGACGACCAGCCGCACUGGGACUGAGACACGGCCCAG
rnacentral:rRNA from 1 species